rnacentral:rRNA from 1 species
GUGGGGAAUAUUGCACAAUGGGGGAAACCCUGAUGCAGCGACGCCGCGUGAGUGAAGAAGUAUUUCGGUAUGUAAAGCUCUAUCAGCAGGGAAGAUAAUGACGGUACCUGACUAAGAAGCCCCGGCUAACUACGUGCCAGCAGCCGCGGUAAUACGUAGGGGGCAAGCGUUAUCCGGAUUUACUGGGUGUAAAGGGAGCGUAGGUGGUGUGGUAAGUCAGAUGUGAAAGCCCGGGGCUCAACCCCGGGACUGCAUUUGAAACUAUCAUACUAGAGUGCAGGAGAGGUAAGUGGAAUUCCUAGUGUAGCGGUGAAAUGCGUAGAUAUUAGGAGGAACACCAGUGGCGAAGGCGGCUUACUGGACUGUAACUGACACUGAGGCUCGAAAGCGUGGGGAGCAAACAGGAUUAGAUACCCGAGUAGUCC